rnacentral:rRNA from 1 species
GAUGAACGCUGGCGGCGUGCCUAAUACAUGCAAGUCGAGCGAACAGACGAGGAGCUUGCUCCUCUGACGUUAGCGGCGGACGGGUGAGUAACACGUGGAUAACCUACCUCUAAGACUGGGAUAACUUCGGGAAACCGGAGCUAAUACCGGAUAAUAUAUUGAACCGCAUGGUUCAAUAGUGAAAGACGGUUUUGCUGUCGCUUAUAGAUGGAUCCGCGCCGCAUUAGCUAGUUGGUAAGGUAACGGCUUACCAAUGCAACGAUGCGUAGCCGACCCAAGAGGGUGAUCGGCCACACUGGAACUGAGACACGGUCCAGACUCCUACGGGAGGCAGCAGUAGGGAAUCUUCCGCAAUGGGCGAAAGCCUGACGGAGCAACGCCGCGUGAGUGAUGAAGGUCUUCGGAUCGUAAAACUCUGUUAGUAGGGAAGAACAAAUGUGUAAGUAACUAUGCACGUCUUGACGGUACCUAAUCAGAAAGCCACGGCUAACUACGUG